UUUUUUUUUCCGUGAUCGUGCAUAUUUCAAUAUAUAUACAAAUUUUAGGAUUGUAAUUUGUCACAUGUUUAGUUGGUUGAAAUCAAUCCCAACUUGGCGAUUCUAAAUUAUAUCGACCAAUUAAUAUUGAAAGUGUUACUCUCGAGGUCAAGAGCUUGUAAUUUGUUGGUGGAUCCGUUCCUGGUCAUUGAACAGCUUUAAAAGUUAUCAACGCAACCUUCAUUUCUUGAACACUAAAAAUAUAUCGCCCUUUACAAACAUAAUUUGCAACACACUUGAUUUUUAACAUAAGUAUAGAAAAAUUGUCAUAAAAACAUAAGUAUAAAAUAUAUUAACAGAGACUACGCAUAACUGUGCAGGAGACGUUUAGAAAACAAGGGGGGCGUUACUAACUUUCUAAGAGCAACAUUAUCGGGGUAUGAUAGAGGAAGUCGUUAGGCUUUAUAUGAUUUUAUUUAAAUAAAAAUUGUAUAAUUUCGCUGGGACGGACGCGGUUUGUCGUUGGCUAACAUAUUUUUUUUUUGUCCUUAGGUGAUAGGUGUCGGCAAGGGAAUGGUGGAAGCGUUUUGGUUUGAGAAAUGAUUCACGUGUUGCCCUUUGGGCCUUGUCUCUUUGAGAAGAGAGAGAGAGAGAGUUGAAGAUCGAUGGCGGAAGGCGCGAUGAUCCCCAGCAACUGAAGAAGGGAAGCCAUAGCUUCAGGCAGAGGCUACUUCUCUGGACCCUUUCUUCGACGCCUAUCAUCAGGCAGAGGCUGAAUCCUAGCCUCCAACAUCACGAGAUGUCUCUCCUCCGCCUCUUCGAGACUGUCUCCGAUGACUGCGUCACACUUGCCCUCAUCCAGAUUAAAUUGACUGAUGUUACUGAUCCCAUGGUCAAUGAGAAGGUUGCUGAUCGGGUAGGAGAGGAUUUAGAAGGAGUUACCCACAAAGUUUACUUUGAUAUUCAGAUCAAUGGUUCACCUGAAUGAGUUACCCACAAAGUUUACUUUGUCCCCUCUUCUUCAUUGGGCGUAGAGGGAAAGAUUGUGGUUGAGCUGAUUUUGCUGGGCAAAUCUGGAUGCAGGGGCAAACAUUAUCUGAUUUUUUCUUAAUUGUUCUGAUCUUUUUUUU